AUGCCAUCAAGAAAUCAUCUAGACAAAAUUGGGAGGAGGAAGAAGAAGAAAUGGACAGAGGACGCCAUGGAACGUGCACUGAUUGAGGUGAAGUCUGGGAGGUGCACGGUGAGACAGGCUGCCAAGGAGUUUGGCGUCCCUAAAUCUUCACUAGGGGACAGAGUCAGCGGACGAGUGACACCAGGGAGUCGCAGCGGGCCUGCUCAGCUUAUAACAUCUGCAGAUGAGCAGCUGUUAGUGGAGUUCUCCUUAUACAUGUCCAAGCAUGGAUUCCCACUUACUAAGCAGCAGCUGGUCUCCUUUGCCUCGUCCAUUUAUAAGAGGCAGCAUCGGAGGGUGGCAUUCUCCAAACUGGGCCAGACAUGGUGGCUCAAUUUUAGAAAACGGCAAGAAAAGAAUAUUACUAUUCAGCCAGCAGACAAUGUUGUCCGUGGGCGGACAGUAUGUGUGAGGAAAGAGGCGGUGGAUCAGUUUUUUCUUUUACUGAGCACUGUCAUGGACACUCACGGACUCAGAGACAAGCCUCACCAAAUCUAUAAUUGCAAUGAGACUGGCUUUCAGCUGGGCAGGAAGAGGGUGAUUCUCCAAAAAUCUGCCAGUCUGGGCUUCAAGCCAACGCCAGGCUCAAGGGACCACAUCUCCGUCCUGGCUUGCUUUAAUGCAGCUGGAGAGGACAUACCCCCAUUUAUUAUCUAUUCAAAGGCCUAUCCAGGGGGGGUUCGUUACAAGACACAGGGGCCACCGAAUGCCCUCUAUGGGUGGUCGGAGUUGGGGUGUAUCAACUCUGACCUCUUCAAGAGGUGGUUCCUUAAACAUUUUCUUGUGCGUGCAACGAAGGAGCGUCCACUGCUGCUGAUUUUUGAUGGCCACAAGUCACCUGUGAACCUUGAAGUAGUCGAAGCAGCUCGUAAGGAGGACAUCAUCCUUCUCUGCCUUCCACCUCAUUGCUCUCACAUCCUACAACCACUCGACGGGGGUCUCUUUAUGCUCCUGAGGCAGCAUUUUGGGACUCUAAUAGGUGAUGGUUGUGCCGCAGAUACUCAUUUUUCAAUAAGCAAGAAAGAGUUCUCAGGUUUAUUUAAAGGAACAUAUCAGGUAGCAAAGGAAGAAGAAGGUAUUAGGGUUGUUAAGGAAGGUUUCAGGAAAUGUGGUAUCUACCCUCUUAACCACUUUGUCAUCAAUGAGGGUCAUUUAAUGCCAUCACACAGCAUGAACCCAGCCACUGGACACACAUUGUCCACAUCUGCCCAAGGGGUGCACACUGUAGGAGACCUCAUAGCUGCUGGACCCUCAAUAUAG
rnacentral:lncRNA from 1 species